GGUCUUCAAGGAUGUAAACCCUCACCAACACCCUUGUCUAGUUCAGAGAAACUCUCACUUACAGAAGGAGAUCCCUUGAAUCAAGAGGACAGUACAAACUACAGAAGUCUGGUAGGAGCACUUCAGUACUUGACUUUGACAAGACCUGAUAUUUCGUUUGCUGUUAAUGAAGUAUGCCAGUUUCUGCAUGCACCCACCAUAGUUCAUUGGACUGCUGCUAAACGUAUAGUAAGAUAUGUGAAAAAUACUAUGAAUCUUGGUCUUACUUUCAGUAAAUCUUCAUCUACUCUAGUCAGUGCUUUCUCAGACUCUGACUGGGCAGGAUGCAUAGAUGACAGACGCUCCACUGGUGGGUUUGCAGUAUUUUUUGGACCUAAUCUAAUAUCAUGGUGUGCAAAGAAACAGGCUACUGUAUCCAGGUCAAGUACAGAAGCUGAGUACAAGGCACUUGCAAAUGCUACAGCAGAGAUUAUUUGGGUACAGUCUAUGUUGAAGGAACUUGGUAUAAAGAGUACUAAAGCCCCAUGCUUACUUAUGGUGUGA
rnacentral:rRNA from 1 species